GAAAAAAAUGGACUUAGUGGGUCUUUGAAUUUAAAUAAAAUAAACAUGUAUAUGCAACACAAAAUAUUUAUAUUCCUUGUGUAAACAUAAUUUAAUUGAUUAGGAUUAAAAUGUUUUGUUUGAAUGUAAAAUGAACACAUUAUUCUCACAUUGAUUAAAAUUGAUUGAAUUGAAUACUUAAAGCAAUAAAAUUGGGUUUGCACACAAAACGGCACCUCCUGAGCAGCAGGGGCAGUAUAGCUCAAUGAAAAGGACAUCAACUGCCAUAAAAGAAGAAUAAACAUCGUUUGUUUUGGGCGCCAAAAUGAAGACUCAGCAGCAGUCAGUCAGAAGAACUCUCUCAGACGGACACCACGUUAUUAAAGUCCAUCAUCCUUGCAUGCGCUACACACUCAAAAGCAUUGAUAAAUGCUGAAUUUAAAAGAAUCACUACUGUCUUAUGUUCCUGUGUCACCUGGACCUCCAAUCCAAAAACCUUAUGAAACUCUUCUAUCAGAAAGGAUGACAGCUAGCAAAAAGACUUCAAACAAUUAAUGAUCAAAUGACAGAAGGCAUGGAUGAAGUCAGCAUCAGUGAGGUCAUUUGAAGACACCAAUGUUGGGAUUUGUGCUCUCAAACAACAUGCUUCUUGUGAUGAAGAAGAGGAUCUUUGUAUAGUCCUGGAAGCCAUGAAGGUGUUGCAACAUCGUGUUUGAGCUGAUGUAUGCCUUAAACCUGAUCUCCGCUUUAUUUUUGAGGAAAUCCAAACUGCAUUGAGAGUAACUUUAACGAACAGUUUCUUUCAGUGAAAGGAUCAGAAAGACUGU